rnacentral:tRNA from 1 species
UGGCCCGUAGCUUAAUUGGUUAAAGCAGCGAACUCAUAAUUCGUUGAGUCAGGGUUCGAGUCCCUGCGGGCCAACCA